rnacentral:rRNA from 1 species
CGCUAGCGGCAGGCUUAACACAUGCAAGUCGAGGGGUAUUGGUUUUCGGACUAAGAGACCGGCGCACGGGUGCGUAACGCGUAUGCAAUCUGCCUUUCACAGAGGGAUAGCCCAGAGAAAUUUGGAUUAAUACCUCAUAGUAUUAUGUUUCGGCAUCGGGAUAUAAUUAAAGUCACAACGGUGAAAGAUGAGCAUGCGUCCCAUUAGCUAGUUGGUAAGGUAACGGCUUACCAAGGCCACGAUGGGUAGGGGUCCUGAGAGGGAGAUCCCCCACACUGGUACUGAGACACGGACCAGACUCCUACGGGAGGCAGCAGUGAGGAAUAUUGGACAAUGGGCGCAAGCCUGAUCCAGCCAUGCCGCGUGCAGGAUGACGGUCCUAUGGAUUGUAAACUGCUUUUGUACGAGAAGAAACACUCCUAUGUGUAGGAGCUUGACGGUAUCGUAAGAAUAAGGAUCGGCU